rnacentral:rRNA from 1 species
GACGAACGCUGGCGGCGUGCCUAAUACAUGCAAGUUGAGCGCUGAAGGUUGGUACUUGUACCAACUGGAUGAGCAGCGAACGGGUGAGUAACGCGUGGGGAAUCUGCCUUUGAGCGGGGGACAACAUUUGGAAACGAAUGCUAAUACCGCAUAAAAACUUUAAACACAAGUUUUAAGUUUGAAAGAUGCAAUUGCAUCACUCAAAGAUGAUCCCGCGUUGUAUUAGCUAGUUGGUGAGGUAAAGGCUCACCAAGGCGAUGAUACGUAGCCGACCUGAGAGGGUGAUCGGCCACAUUGGGACUGAGACACGGCCCAAACUCCUACGGGAGGCAGCAGUAGGGAAUCUUCGGAAAUGGACGAAAGUCUGACCGAGCAACGCCGCGUGAGUGAAGAAGGUUUUCGGAUCGUAAAACUCUGUUGGUAGAGAAGAACGUUGGUGAGAGUGGAAAGCUCAUCAAGUGACGGUAACUACCCAGAAAGGGACGGCUAACUACGUG